UGAGUUCGUUAGGUAUUAUCU
rnacentral:miRNA from 1 species